AGUGAACGCUGGCGGUAGGCCUAACACAUGCAAGUCGAACGGCAGCACNNUAAGAGCUUGCUCUUAUGGGUGGCGAGUGGCGGACGGGUGAGGAAUACAUCGGAAUCUACUUUUUCGUGGGGGAUAACGUAGGGAAACUUACGCUAAUACCGCAUACGACCUUCGGGUGAAAGCAGGGGACCUUCGGGCCUUGCGCGAUUGAAUGAGCCGAUGUCGGAUUAGCUAGUUGGCGGGGUAAAGGCCCACCAAGGCGACGAUCCGUAGCUGGUCUGAGAGGAUGAUCAGCCACACUGGAACUGAGACACGGUCCAGACUCCUACGGGAGGCAGCAGUGGGGAAUAUUGGACAAUGGGCGCAAGCCUGAUCCAGCCAUACCGCGUGGGUGAAGAAGGCCUUCGGGUUGUAAAGCCCUUUUGUUGGGAAAGAAAACUUGCAGGUUAAUACCCAGCAAGUCUGA
rnacentral:rRNA from 1 species